rnacentral:rRNA from 1 species
GACGAACGCUGGCGGCGCGCCUAACACAUGCAAGUCGAACGAGCGAGAGAGAGCUUGCUUUCUCGAGCGAGUGGCGAACGGGUGAGUAACACGUGAGGAACCUGCCUCAAAGAGGGGGACAACAGUUGGAAACGACUGCUAAUACCGCAUAAGCCCACGGUGCCGCAUGGCACAGAGGGAAAAGGAGCAAUCCGCUUUGAGAUGGCCUCGCGUCCGAUUAGCUAGUUGGUGAGGUAAUGGCCCACCAAGGCGACGAUCGGUAGCCGGACUGAGAGGUUGAACGGCCACAUUGGGACUGAGACACGGCCCAGACUCCUACGGGAGGCAGCAGUGGGGAAUAUUGCACAAUGGGGGAAACCCUGAUGCAGCGACGCCGCGUGGAGGAAGAAGGUCUUCGGAUUGUAAACUCCUGUUGUUGGGGAAGAUAAUGACGGUACCCAACAAGGAAGUGACGGCUAACUACGUA